rnacentral:rRNA from 1 species
GACGAACGCUGGCGGCGUGCCUAAUACAUGCAAGUGGAACGCACAGUUUAUACCGUAGCUUGCUACACCAUAGACUGUGAGUUGCGAACGGGUGAGUAACGCGUAGGUAACCUGCCUGGUAGCGGGGGAUAACUAUUGGAAACGAUAGCUAAUACCGCAUAAUAUUAAUUAUUGCAUGAUAAUUAAUUGAAAGGUGCAAUUGCACCACUACCAGAUGGACCUGCGUUGUAUUAGCUAGUAGGUGAGGUAACGGCUCACCUAGGCGACGAUACAUAGCCGACCUGAGAGGGUGAUCGGCCACACUGGGACUGAGACACGGCCCAGACUCCUACGGGAGGCAGCAGUAGGGAAUCUUCGGCAAUGGACGAAAGUCUGACCGAGCAACGCCGCGUGAGUGAAGAAGGUUUUCGGAUCGUAAAGCUCUGUUGUAAGAGAAGAACGGGUGUGAGAGUGGAAAGUUCACACUGUGACGGUAUCUUACCAGAAAGGGACGGCUAACUACGUG